rnacentral:lncRNA from 1 species
UUGACGUCGAACGGCCAUUCUAUAACUCAAACUUGAGGUGGUCUGGGUAACCAGACCGGAAUAGAACAACCAAUGAAAAGUAACUCCCUACGAAAGGUCCUGGCAGUCUUAGCUUAAAAAUCCGAAAACUGAUUGCGCACUCGUGGCACAUGGGUGAUUUUGAAGUCCGGGAAACAAAUCUGCAGCGUCUCUAUCUUCUCCAAUUAUGUCGCGAAGCUUGGCCACUUCUGGGGUUCCUUUACCAUUGCAAUCAGCUCCUUGCAGUCUGUUCCAAAGCUCUGGCAUGGCGAGUGUUGAAGCAUAUUCUCCAUCGCCCAGCGUAGUGCUUCCACCUCCGAAUGCAAUGCUGAUUCACAUCGAGUGAAAUUCCGUGUUCCCAUAUGUUGUAUGUUCUCCCCACUAUCCAUCCAGACCCAUCCACAUCCACUAAAGCGAUCAGAAGCUGUCAAAGAUCCAUCCAGUAUGCAAAUAUUAUCCAAGCUUAAGACUUGGUUUUCUUCACUAUUGCUGGCAUGUACUACUGGUGGUAUCAUCUCAUUUGCACUAAACCUGGCUUGACGUUCACUUUCUGCGUAUCGAACUAGUUCCAAAGGGUCUC